UAAACCCUUCACAAAGUUCAUGGCGCUGUCUUCCGCCCGGACCUGUCCGCAGUGGUUCCCCCGGAGACGAGCAGCACUGAACGCACACAAGACUGCAGGAGACCCGCGGCCCCAUCCAGCUCCGUACACGGCGACUCCAUCCUUUGGUCACUCAGGCCAAACCUCGAAGUCAUCGUGGAUCCGUCUCACUCACAUCCUACACGCAUCCCUUCGACGAGUCCUUCCAGCGUCAGCGCCAGAAGGUGUGGAGAGCCGGCAGCUUCCCCUGCACAGCAGCCCCACGCCGCCCACCCGCGCCCCUGCCCCGGCUCAUCGCGAGGCUCCCAGGGCUCUCCCCGCCUCCACGCCAGCCGCCCAUACACUAUUUUCCGCGCAGUAGAACAUAAAUCCAGCACAUCCCUCCUCUGCUCAGAACCCUCAGUGACACGCCGUCUCCCGGAGGACCGGAUCCCCGCGAUGGCCGCUCGGCGGCGCCCUCGGCUGCGCCCGUCCGCAGACGCCGCACGGCUCCCCUCAGGCUCUCCGAGAGAAGAUAUCUGCCCGUCUUUUUUUAAAAAAAGGAAAAGAAGGGAAAACAUCUUCAAAUGUUAUUUCCUCAGCAAAGCCUUCCCUGCCCGAGACGGAGGAGCGCCUCCCCGCCGCGGCGGCUCUUCCCGCGGCCGCCGCGGGCCUUCGCUGCUUCACGUGGGCUUUUCUCUCUUUCCGCUGGACCGUGAGCGCGCCGAGCGGUUUCAUUUCUCCCUCCGCCGCCGUGUGCCCGUGGCCCACACCAACGUGGGGCCUCAUUUCUUUUGAACAGAGCAAAAAUGGCCCCGGAAAGCCCCCGAAGCCCUGCGGGAAGCGCCGCCCGAGGUGCCGCCGGGCCUGCUGGCUCCUCGGCCUGCGCGUUUGCGUGGCGUUCCCUCCUCGGGGAACUGUGGGGCCUAAUCCCGCCCGCCCUGUUCCUGCCACAGUGCCUGUUUCUUCCCUUACGGUCUUUUGGAAUUAGCAGUGUAUACUGUAUUGUUCUGCUUACAUUUUAAUGCCUGUCGUCCCGCUGGAAGGCGGCCCGGGGGCCGGCGCAGGAAGCUCUCAGUGACCCCGAGGGGACCGCCGAGGACCGCGUGCGGAGGCGCUGGGAAGGCGGAAACCGCCGUUUGACGCGAACAAAGGAAAAUCUGGCUGUAGACGCUUCCAGCUUCUUAAGAAGUGACAUUUCUUAGGAAGGGAGAAUAGACCUUUCUCCUGCUACCUUCCAGCUCACGGAGACUGGUGUGCCAAAGAGUUUGAUCUUGUUCAAAGAAAAAUGAAUUUCCCAGCCUCUGAGGGGACCCUGUGCCGCUCACGGGCAGACGUCCUGAGACAACGGCCCUUUGUUCAGAGGAGAGCCUUAAUGAGGUUAAGGAUUUACCAAGCGGGGCUGUCAGGAGCUGGCGCGGUGGAGGGGAGAAUAAGGCUGUUCUGCAUUAAAAUGAGCGGUGGUUUCGUUUGCCAGGGCUGCCACCCCGGAGUAAAGCAGACUGGGCGCCUUAAUCAACCGAGAUCUACUUUCUCACCGUUGGAGAGGUCACUGCACAUCCUCUGUGGAAGAGGGCUUAAGUACAAUGGAGUUCUAUUUUUACAGCGCUCUUCUGUCUAGCCCAGUGAUGGAAACCCCCUGGUCUUUCUCUGUAAAGGACAACCCAUGAAAGCCUUAUCAUCA
rnacentral:lncRNA from 1 species